CGGCCACACCCCACACAAGUGAGAGCUCCAUCGCACGAGUUUCUUCCUCUCUCCUUCUUAUUUUGCAAUAUAAAGCUGUGCUCCUCCGCUCUACUCGCCGGCGGUGCUACCGUCCUCCUUUUGACGUUUCUCUUGAGCUCAGAGCCGGCAGCUCCAUUCACACUCCACACAAAUCUAACGAGCUUCUCCCUCUCUCUGUCAACGAGCUGCUUUUUCUCUCCGUCGCACGAGCAUCUUUUGCCGCUGCCUCCGCCGCUCGCGUCGCACGAGCCCCCUCCGCCGCCGCUCUCGUCGCAUCUGCUCCCUUCGUCAUCGUCCGUUGGAGGUUAGGAUUUUAAUCCGCUAAUUAAUCGAAACUAAAGCCCUCCGUUUCUCUUCGCUUGGAGAUCUGCUUUCGUUCCUUUCGUUCCUUUCGCCUGGAGGUUAGAUUUCAUGCAGAUCUGCUUCAAUCAAAAUAAAUGCCCUAAAAGCUGGUGAUAUAAAGGGAUCAAACCUUCUUAUUGACAAUGAUGGAGUUCUUAAAAUUGCUGAUUUUGGAUUAGCAUCGUUCUUUGAUCCUCAUCACAAGCAUCCUAUGACCAGUAGAGUGGUGACCUUAUGGUAUCGUCCUCCCGAACUUCUUCUCAGGGCCACCGAAUAUGGUGUCGGAGUGGACCUCUGGAGUGCUGGCUGCAUUCUUGCUGAAUUGUUGGCCAAAAAGCCAAUUAUGCCUGGUCGAACAAAGAUUUUGCUGGUAAUAUAAUAUGGUGGAAGGAGAGAACCGCAGAACAAAAGCAUUGCUGAGUGUGGUUCUUUAGCUGUAAGCACUCCAAAUCAUUGAAAAAGCCUCAGGUGCCUUCUUCCCGUAUUUGUAGAACUUUUCUCAAGAGCUUCAAAAGCUUGAGGAGUAUCGCAUGAACCAGAAAUCCAUUGAUUCAAUGGUAUAUAUAUAUAUUUUGUAAACUUGUCUGUCUCUUCGAACCCUAGCUUUUCUUUCAAGAUGGCUUAUGUAUUUAUUUAUUUAUUCACUCCCUGUUUCAAUUUAAUUUUGAAUGAUUUUUGUCUUCAGGAAGUGUAACGAUUAGAUCUUCUCUGGUUAGAUUUUCAUUGUGGUGUAUGAACGGUAGAUGAUGAAAUUUGUACAUUUGUGGUGUUCUGCUUCGUUGUGCUUCAAAAUCUCCAUCUUUUCCCGUUUACUGUUUGUGAUCGAUAUAUCAUUCCUUCAAAUAAAUACUUGUUAGUUGUAAUGUGUGCACCUGCAUGGCUUCUACUUAUUUUGAUGGUGUUAACUUUCAUGUUUAUGUUGGAGAUAAUGUUAUAAUAUAUUCACGUCUAUCAUGUGUUCGACGCAAUGUCUUUGAGGGCCUUAUCAUGCUCCUUUCUUUCCUUUUUCUUUUUUUUUUUGGGUUAAGCAUAACUUUGUCAAGAAUUUUGUUUAUGUAAAUGAAAUAAACGAAUUAAUUUAUUUACUAUCUUUAAAAGAGAAUCUAAACACAAUGUCAUUAGUGCAUGUUAAGUGCUUGUUUCUAACGGCCUUCCGUGGAAGAAUUGGAAGCUGGAAGCACUCCUUGCAGUUGUGAACAAUAAUGAUACCAGCCACAUUGUUCAUGUUCUAGCUGGUACAAAUGCUCUUUCUGAUGUGCUUAUAAGCAUACCUAUUUUUACUGGCGAUGGUGAAGGUGGAAGUGGAUUUGCAGCUGGUGGUGUAUCUGGAUUUGAGUUCGGUGUGGAUCCAAACUUGGACCCCGAGCUUGCUCUUGCUUUAAGAGUUUCAAUGGAACGAGAGAGCCAGGCCGGAAGCAGCUGCAAAAAAAGCUGCAGAAGAAGCUUCUAAACAAGAGAAGGGUGGUGAGCAGCAAGCCAUCUCACAAGAUGCAACAAUGACUGAGCGUGCUAGUGCAUCAGCUUCAGAAGUGGAGGUGUUUCUCGAAUUAAAGCUCAUGUCGAUCAGAUUCCCGGUAAAGGUAUCUUUAUAUGCUCUGCUUCACCGAAUGAUAAUCAUUUACAACCACAAUCACAAGAAACUGCAAAUCCAAUGAUUCCAGGGGAAGGUAAUUUAUAAUACUGUGAUAGUUUCUUGAAAUUAUUUUAAGUUGAUUCAUCAUGGAUUUAAGCGAUUGAAUAUUUAUAUAUGUUUCUUCGUACACUCAAAGAUACUACAUUAUAAAUUAGUUGUUCCAAAAGUUUAAAUUGAAAAGAGGAGAAACAUUAAUGAUUAUUUCUGAUCUAUAAAUAGUUAUGUAUCUGUCUGUCAUUGCUUUAGUUUUGUUUUUACCAACUACUUGUGUUGAAGUAUAAAAGUCUUGACUGGAUCUUUCCCUGCCUCAUCAUGUUUGUACCAAUUAAGUGGCUGCUAAAGAUGAUGACCAUGAAAUAGUUGAUGCCUUCUUUGGAGGUUUAUAUUUAUUUGUCGUUUUGGCCUAGUUCUACCUACUUCAUAUCCAGAUUUUGUCCAGAGUCUUGCUGACAGUUGCUUUCCCAUAAGCCAGGGGCCAUCAGCAAGCCGUCUUCAUGAACUGUUUAUACACCAGUUUUGUGAUCUUGGUGCUUCUUCCUGUGUUCUAUCUUUUUCUUUAUCUUGUUCAAAGUGAUAUGAAGGGUCAAACACAGGAGCUUCGUCGCAUCUCAAAAGCAGGAUGGAAAGUCAAGCCGUCAUAAGUCAUGAAUGUGUCCUUCAUCGACAAUUCUACAAUUCCUAAAGACAAGAAACCGGAGAUCUACACUGCAAAAUAAAAAAAGUAACUAGUAAGUGUCCAACAGAGAAGAGUUAAAUCUAAUAAGAAAGCUGAGGUUGGUUGUGUGUCAUGAAGUUAGAGGGUACUGAGAUUUUGAAGUGCAACUAUGCUGUAGUGGAAGUGGAUGUGAUUCAGAAGAAGCUGUUGUUGAGGAAUCUAAUGGGAAUAAGGAUGUUAUGGACCUUGAGAUUCGUUCAAGAGGGAAUGUGGUGGAGAAACUAGUAAGAACAAAGCAUCAUAAGGAAAUUACUUUUUCUUUGGUGAUCAACUCUUCUGAUUCAUGUCCAUUUUUUGAGAAAGGAUUCAGUUAAUCUUUCUGUAAUAUAUGUAAAAUUGUGUAAAAUUUAGUAUGAUUGAACAAUAUACCGAGGAUUAUAGUUAAUAAUAUACUUUGUUUAUGUUUUACAUUA